AAUCAUAUGCAUCUUUUGAGGUAUGGAUAUGGUGUAUCUGAGGCAUCUUUCGAUGGCUACUAUCCUACGCAGCUCAGAGUAUCUUACGGAUCGAAUUUUGCUGCUGGCAUAUUCAGAUGGGCUCCUCCACAACCGUAUUAUCAGCCAGAGGAUACAUCUCAGAGCCAGAACUUAUGCGAGAGAUCCAAAAAUGCUUAUAAUCCGACGCGUGUUUCUUAUGGGAUGAACAUACAAACUACAACGCUGCUUAGUUAGAGGUGUGGGCUGAUGUGCCUUCUGACUAUGCUCAUGAUCCGGAUAUUUACAAGAGGCAUCACCACUCGAUCCGAUUUUAGAUAUCGGCAGGUCAUCAUGUACAAGAGGAUUCUGGUGAAGAACUUGGAAGGAUCAUAGCAGAGAUUAUCAGCAAAAGCAAAUAAGUUGCCAUGAUUUUGAUCCUCUCUCUCUCUCUCUCUCUCGCUCUCGCUCUCUCUCAUGUGGAACUUUAAAAUCUUGACAGACCAAAAGUUAAGCACUGAGCAGCUUCAGCAAUGUAAAGGUGAUGCAUAGUUAGUGGGGUUUAGCGAACUAAUAAACCUUGAUGAUGGUGAUGUUUACCUAGCAAACAAGAUCUGGAAUCUUGAUCAUGGGAGAUUUGCUCCGCUGAAAGUUCAGCCACCCAUUGUGGAAAGCAAUAUUUAUAUUUGAAUCUCCAUCCCUUGGUUUCAGGUUCAAUGUAAGGAAAAAUAUUGGGACAUGGAAACUCCUUUAAAAGUUCUGUGGGCAGUAGAAAGUUAGUGGAACCAAGUAGCAACCGUAGCUUUAUGUGACAUGGUACGAAUGUCGGAGGAUCCUUCCAAGAGGGCUGAAAAAGGUGGAAAAAGCACCAUUCAAGCAUUUUAUUCAAUUUGACUUCUCCCAAAAGCAUGCAUGCUAAAUGGAGAUGGAUCCCAUUAUAUGGGUGGAAUCCCUAUACUAUUUUAAUAUGUUCGGCAAAACUUUUCAACUCCAUUGAUGGGCAAAACUACAAUUAUUUUUGAUGUUAUAAAAGCAUUUUAAGUUCUCUUUGAACAAA